GACCGAAGGAGGCGGAGCUAGGAGAAGGAGGGCGAGAACGAACCCAGUGUUGCCCCAUGUGUACGCUGGUGUUCCCAAGCAGGUUCAGCCAGAUGGACUGUGACAGCCACCUGGCCCAGUGUCUGUCCGAGAUGAACGUCGACAUGGCCUGGUGAGAGUGGCUAUUGGAUGGGGUGGGGGGUUGGCCCUGGCCCUCUCCCAACCAAUAGGGUUGGCCCUGGAACGCUCCACACCAAUCAGUGGGGGGCCGUAGGGUCCUGAUACCCGCAGUACCACCCUCCUCCGGUAUCACCCCAAGCACACGUGCGGAUGAAUGCACCCUCGUCACAGAGUAGUACACGCCAGUAACAAGAGCGCCCGUGACUCAUUCUGCUUGGAGCAGGAUAUGGGAGGCUGAAACCUUUUUUAAGAAAUGGCAUUUGGGAUUUGGCAUUUAGAUACCCAUUUGCGAGCAGAACGUCCACCUGCCAAGCAUCAUGGUACCCACCACGUUCUCGUCACUCUGGUGGUCACGGCUGUUGGUCGAGGGACCAAACACCCAAACCAAACCUCACGAACAGCCUUGUGUCCGGUGACGCACGCCAUCACAACAACUGUUGCUUCUGAGCGUUAGCUAUGGUUACCUGAUCCAAAGCAUCGAUUGCACAAGCCAAGCUGUUCCCUUGUUGUUGUUUUUUACCAUUUAGUCAUUCAGACGUUGCUUUUCCAGAAGCAACUCAGUUGU
ensembl:lncRNA